rnacentral:lncRNA from 1 species
CGGGUUCUCUGAGGGUCCCCGGCUGGGAGGCGAAUCGAGGCUAUGGGAAGGGGUGGGCCUCGCCGUGAACCUUUUUGCUGGGCCUGGGCAUGGAGUGCAGCCGAGUCUCGGUGAAAGGAAUUGAAACUCAAAGAUGGAUGAUCAGGAUCCUGGGGGCAUUAGCCCCCUUCAGCAGAUGGUGGCCUCAGGAGCUGGGGCUGUGGUCACCUCCCUCUUCAUGACACCCCUGGAUGUGGUGAAGGUCCGCCUUCAGUCUCAGAGACCCACGGUAGCCAGCGAAUUGACAACUCCCUCCAGAUUCUGGAGUCUUUCCUACACCAAAUCACCCUCCACUCUACAGUCCCCAGGGAAGUGCCUCCUGUACUGCAAUGGUGUCCUGGAGCCCCUGUACCUGUGCCCAAAUGGUACUCGCUGCGCCACCUGGUUUCAGGAUCCUACACGGUUCACUGGCACCUUGGAUGCCUUUGUGAAGAUUGUGAGGCAUGAGGGCACCAGGACCCUGUGGAGCGGCCUCCCAGCCACCCUGGUGCCCUCGCCCGAAUGGGCACUGUGACAGUGGUCAGCCCCUUGGAGCUUGUGCGGACCAAGCUGCAGGCACAGCAUGUGUCAUACCGCGAACUGGCUGCCUGUGUUCAAGCUGCAGUGGCUCAGGGUGGCUGGCGCUCACUGUGGCUGGGCUGGGGUCCCACAGCUCUUCGAGAUGUACCCUUCUCA